UAUAUUUAAUUUUUUAUUAAAAAAAAUUAUUUAAAUAUUUUAGUUUAUAAUUAAAUUUUGUUUUAAAAAUACUUAGAAGGGUUAAUUUUAUAUUUAUAAUACAAAUAUAUUGUACCUUUUGUAUCAGGGUUAAUCAAUUUAAUUAAUUAUUUAUUUUUCCCGAAAUAAAAAGGUCAAUUAAAUUUUAAUUUUGUUUGUUGUAAAAAAUAAUUUAAUUUUUUUUUUGUGGAGAUAUUCUAUUCAAUUUUUAUUAUAUCUGGUUUUUUACAAAAAAAUUAAAUUUUUAAGUUUUUAUUUAAAUUUAUAUUUAAUAAGGGAUAAUCUUUAUUAAUUUAUAAAAUUUUUUCUUAUAAAUUAUUUUUAAUAUUUUUUAAAUUUUAAUUUUAGUUAUUAAUAUAUUAAAAUAAUUUUGUAAAAAUUUUUUUUUAUUUAUUUUAUGAGUAAUUUUUUUUAUCUAAUUGAAUUUUAUUAUUAAUUUUGAUUAUAUUAGUAAAUUUUAAAAUUAUAAUUAAAUGAAUUAGACAAAUUUAAUUUUCAACUGUUUACCAAAAACAUUUCUUUUAGUUUUAUAUUAAAAGUAGAUUCUGCCCUAUGAAGUAUUUAAAUGGCUGCAGUAUUUUAACUGUACAAAGGUAGCAUAAUAAUUAGUUUUUUAAUUGAGGACUGGAAUGAAAGAUUUAAUGAAAAAUUAGUUUUAUUAUUUUUAAUAAUUUAAUUUUAUUUUUAAGUAAAAAAGCUUAAUAAAUUUUUUGGGACGAAAAGACCCUAUAGAACUUUAUUAAAUUUUAAAAUUUAAAUUUAAUAUUUUUUUAUUUUUAAAAUUUAAUUUUAUUGGGGUGAUAAAUAAAUUAAUCUUUAUUUUUUUUAAUCAUUAAUUUAUGUUUUUAUGAUUUAAAUAUAUUUUAUUAAAAGAUAAAGUUACCUUAGGGAUAACAGCGUAAUAUUUAUGGGGAGUUCUUAUCUAUAUAAAAGUUUGCGACCUCGAUGUUGAAUUAAGAUAAAUUAAUAAAGAAGUAUUUAUUAUAUUAAGUCUGUUCGACUUUUAAAUUCUUACAUGAUUUGAGUUCAAACCGGUGUAAGCCAGGUUGGUUUCUAUCUUAUAAAUUUUAAUUUUAUUUAGUACGAAAGGACCAAUAAAUUUAUUUUAAAUAUUUAGGUUUUAAAU
rnacentral:rRNA from 1 species